AUAUGGCUUAGUUACGAGGCAUAAAUUAACAAAUCUCUUGAUUAGAGAUCUUAUCAGGCUGUUUGAGAGACUUAGUAGUUUACCUUUCUAUCAUGUUCCAAGCAUGCCUGGACAGUU